rnacentral:rRNA from 1 species
AGUGAACGCUGGCGGUAGGCCUAACACAUGCAAGUCGAACGGCAGCACAGUAAGAGCUUGCUCUUACGGGUGGCGAGUGGCGGACGGGUGAGGAAUACAUCGGAAUCUACUUUUUCGUGGGGGAUAACGUAGGGAAACUUACGCUAAUACCGCAUACGACCUACGGGUGAAAGCAGGGGAUCUUCGGACCUUGCGCGAUUGAAUGAGCCGAUGUCGGAUUAGCUAGUUGGCGGGGUAAAGGCCCACCAAGGCGACGAUCCGUAGCUGGUCUGAGAGGAUGAGCGGCCACACUGGGGGUGAGACACGGCACAGACUGCAACGUGAGGCAGCAGUAGGGAAUCGGCGGCAAAGGGGGCGAAGGUGAACGAGCAACGCGGCGAGGAUGAAGAAGGAGUUCGGAUAGUAACGCUUCGUUGUAAGCCAAGAACGAGGGUGAGAGUGGAAAGUUCACACUGAGACGGUGGCUUAGCAGAGAGGGACGGCUAACUACGUG